rnacentral:rRNA from 1 species
UACGAGGGGGGCGAGCGUUGUUCGGAAUUAUUGGGCGUAAAGGGUGCGUAGGCGGUUUGGUAAGUCUCGUGUGAAAUCUCCGGGCUCAACUCGGAGCCUGCACGAGAAACUGUCGAGCUAGAGUCCGGAAGAGGCGAGUGGAAUUCCUGGUGUAGCGGUGAAAUGCGCAGAUAUCAGGAGGAACACCAAUGGCGAAGGCAGCUCGCUGGGACGGUACUGACGCUGAGACGCGAAAGCGUGGGGAGCAAACAGG